rfam:Populus trichocarpa isolate Nisqually-1 chromosome 13, whole genome shotgun sequence.
UAAUUAUUUAGGGCAUAUACUCAUCUAGUUGUCGCAAACUCACACAUAAAUACUCAAAAUCAUCAAUUAUUGCAUACCCAACUACAUCAGAAGAGACGAAAUAGAUAGAGAUCAAAGGGGGAUGGUGAUUGGUGGAAGAAAUAGGG